CACUGCAAUUGCGCAGCCUUACCUUUGAUUCUCCAUCUCCUUCUCCCUCUCCAUAGUUGAGCUUUCUGAGUGGACAAGGGGAGCUCUCGUCAUGUGUGGAAUCCUCGCAGUUUUAGGCUGCGUUGACAGCUCUCAGGCCAAGCGCUCACGAAUCAUUGAAUUGUCUCGGAGGCUGCGUCAUAGAGGUCCCGACUGGAGUGGUUUGCAUUGUUUUGAAAACUGUUAUCUUGCUCAUCAACGGUUAGCUAUUGUAGACCCCACUUCCGGGGAUCAACCCCUUUAUAAUGAAGACAAGACCGUUGUUGUUACGGUUAAUGGAGAGAUCUACAACCACAAGGAAUUGAGAGAGAAGCUGAAGGGUCAUCAAUUCCGAACUGGAAGUGACUGUGAAGUGAUUGCCCACCUUUAUGAAGAAUAUGGAGAAGAGUUUGUGGACAUGUUGGAUGGAAUGUUUUCCUUCGUCCUUCUUGAUACUCGUAGCAAAACUUUUAUUGCAGCUAGGGAUGCUAUUGGGAUCACUCCACUAUAUAUGGGAUGGGGUCUUGAUGGAUCAAUCUGGUUUGCUUCUGAGAUGAAAGCUCUUAGUGAUGACUGUGAGAGAUUUGUUUCUUUUCUUCCUGGUCAUAUAUAUUCUAGCAAACAAGGAGAAUUAAGAAGAUGGUAUAACCCUCCUUGGUUCACAGAGAUGGUACCAUCAGGUUCCUAUGAUCCUUUGGUUCUACGUAAUGCAUUUGAGAAGGCUGUUACUAAAAGACUUAUGACAGAUGUGCCAUUUGGAGUCCUUUUAUCUGGAGGAUUGGAUUCAUCACUGGUUGCUGCUGUUGCCUGCCGGCAUUUGGCUGAUUCUGAAGCAGCUCGUCAGUGGGGGUCGCAAUUACACACCUUCUGUGUUGGAUUGAAGGGUUCUCCUGAUCUUAGUGCUGCUAGAGAGGUAGCUGAUUACCUUGGAACUCGUCAUCAUGAGUUCCACUUUACUGUGCAGGAAGGUAUAGAUGCGCUUGAGGAAGUUAUUUACCACAUUGAGACAUAUGAUGUGACCACUAUCAGAGCUAGCACACCUAUGUUCCUUAUGUCCCGGAAAAUCAAAUCUUUGGGAGUGAAAAUGGUUCUUUCAGGAGAAGGUUCAGAUGAAAUUUUUGGAGGUUACUUGUACUUCCACAAGGCACCAAACAAAAAGGAGUUUCAUGAAGAAACAUGCAGAAAGAUUAAAGCACUUCAUUUAUAUGACUGUUUGAGGGCCAAUAAGUCAACCUCAGCGUGGGGUCUUGAGGCUCGUGUCCCUUUUCUUGAUAAAGAAUUUAUAAACAUAGCCAUGAGCAUAGAUCCUGAAUGGAAAAUGAUCAGGCGUGAUAUUGGGAGAAUAGAGAAAUGGAUCUUGCGCAAUGCAUUUGAUGAUGAGAAGGAACCAUAUUUGCCCAAGCACAUAUUGUACAGGCAAAAAGAACAAUUCAGUGACGGUGUUGGAUACAGUUGGAUUGACGGUUUGAAGGAUCACGCUGAGAAACAAGUGACUGAUGCGAUGUUGGUGAAUGCUAACUUUAUCUACCCAGAAAAUACUCCUACCACUAAAGAAGCAUAUUACUACCGAACAAUAUUUGAGAAAUUCUUCCCGAAGAAUGCUGCUAGAUCAACUGUCCCAGGAGGUCCAAGCGUGGCAUGCAGUACAGCAAAAGCAGUGGAAUGGGACGCUGCAUGGUCCAAAAAUCUGGAUCCCUCUGGUCGUGCUGCACUGGGUGUUCAUGUAGCUGCAUAUGACGAAAAGCUGAAUGCUAAAAUUGCUAAUGUACCGAAUGACUCUCCCCAAGAAAUCAAAGUAACAGUCGAGAAAGCUGCAGCUGUAGUAUAGUUCAAGUCCAGUCCUAGUUUGUGGCAUCCUCAUAUGAAUGAAGUUCAUUCUCAAGUAAAAAGAUGCUGUUAUGAAGACUAGUCUUGAAAUUUUCUUGAAGACAAUGAUUGGACUCUAGUUUUUCACUGUUCAAAUGUAGCCCAAGUUCCCCUUCCUCUAGUGUUUUUAACGUUUAGUUCUUGCUUCUUUGUUCGUAAGUUACUACAAUGACAUGAUAAUAAAAUGGUAAUGGUCCUGUUUAAUAUAAUUUCCUUGAUCUAAGUUUUCCUUUUCCAGAUUUAUCGAUAA